AUUGAACGCUGGCGGCAUGCUUUACACAUGCAAGUCGAACGGUAACAGGCCUUCGGGCGCUGACGAGUGGCGAACGGGUGAGUAAUGCAUCGGAACGUGCCCAGAGGUGGGGGGUAACGCAGCGAAAGCUGUGCUAAUACCGCAUAUUAUCUGAGGAUGAAAGCGGGGGACUAAGCAGCAAUGUUUGGCCUCGCGCCUUUGGAGCGGCCGAUGUCAGAUUAGGUAGUUGGUGGGGUAAAGGCUCACCAAGCCGACGAUCUGUAGCUGGUCUGAGAGGACGACCAGCCACACUGGGACUGAGACACGGCCCAGACUCCUACGGGAGGCAGCAGUGGGGAAUUUUGGACAAUGGGCGCAAGCCUGAUCCAGCAAUGCCGCGUGCAGGAAGAAGGCCUUCGGGUUGUAAACUGCUUUUGUACGGAGCGAAAAGGCUUCCUCUAAUACAGGGGGUCCAUGACGGUACCGUAAGAAUAAGCACCGGCUAACUACGUG
rnacentral:rRNA from 1 species